UGCAUGUUACUAACUUGACUUCUUCCCUGGAGUUCUUUGUGCUUUCUCAUCCGCAGGAAACCCCAGGGACCUGCCCUUGGCCAUGGGGAUGUCCUUCUCCAGCCGUUGUUGCUGUUUGUUGUUGCUAGUCAUGUAUUUAUUGUUGUUGUUGUUGUUGUUGCUGUUGUUGUUCUGCUUCUCUGUGUCCCCCCUCCCCCUUUCUUUCUCACACUGCUCACAGUUUUCUUCGAAGACAUACUUCCUGCUCUCUAGUGCUUGCAGUAGUUGCUGAAGAAAAGUGGGAGCUGACUGUACAGUCUCAAUGCAAUUUAUACUCAAGGUGAGACCAGGAGUCUGGCCCAUCCUGCAGGCAAAGCCCCCAAAAAGCAAUUGGCCACCAAGGCUGCCUGUAGGAGCACCCUGGCCACCAACCCUGUGAAGAAGCCUCACUGUUACAGGCUCAGUACCAUGGCUCUGAGAGAGAUCUGUCGCUACCAGAAAUCCACCAAACUGCUGGUCUGCAAGCUGCCCUUACAGCACGUGGUCAGAGAAAUCGCUCAGGAUUUCAAGGCCGACCUGUGCUUCUAGAGCUCCGCUGUCAUGACUCUGCAAGAGGCCAGUAAGGCUUUCCUGGUCAGCCUGUUCAAGGACACCAACCAUGCCAAGAGGGUCACCAUCAUGCCCAAAUACAUCCAGCUUACCCGCCGCAUCCUUGAUGAUGUGGUCCUGCUGGCUUCAACACACUGAUGGUUUGCAGCUGAAUGUGAAGUGGUCGGAAUGAGAGUCACCUCCAAGUCUGAGGCCAUGGUGCUAUGCCAGUGAGGUCAACAGGCAGAUCAAUGCAGCAUCAGCAGUAAUGCGGGCAUUGUACAGGACCACUUUGGUGAAGAAGGAGCUGAGCCAGAAGACAAUGCUCUCAAUUUACCAGUCGAUCUAUGUUCCAACCCUCAUCUAUGGUCACAAGCUUUGGGUAGUGACUGAAAGAAUGAGAAUGCAGAUACAAACAGCCAAAAUGAGUUUCCUCCGGAGGGUGUCUGGGGUCAGCCUUGCAGAUAGGUUGAGGAGUUCGGAGAUCCAGGAGGAGCUUGGAGUACAGCUGCUGCUCCUUUGCGUUCAAAGGAACCAGUUCAGGUGAUUUGGGCACCUGAUGCCUCCUGGAAGCCGCCCUCUGGAGGUGUUCCGGGCACGUCCAACUUGUAGGAGGGUGAUGUGUAGGUGUCCUUACUCAGUCUGAUGCCACUGACCCUUCAUGGGUUGCAGAGGACUGCAGCAGAAAAUGGAUGGAUGGAUAGAUACCAGAUUAUACCAGAUCUUUGUAUAGGACAGCAGAAUUAAUUAGAGGAUUCUGAUGUUGAGGACUCAAGGCCAUCAAAGAAUUGAUCUUCUUAUGUAUUGGUGGAACGUCCAUGUCAAUAUCCUCUAUAGCUAGCUUUCCAUCCAAAUGUAGUGCAAAUUUGAACCACAAUCUGAUUUCAUGCUGGACACAGCGUGACUAGUUUUCUACACAACAGCAGGGCACAGGAAAGUUUGUUAGCUUGCUGAGGGGUUUGUAGGUGUACAGCUCACUGUGGCUGCUUAUGACUGUUCCAUUACUCUCUGCAAAAUUUAAAACUGAUCCGCUGUCAAAAAAUAAUGAAAAAAUGACUGCUGCCUUGUUUUGUAGACGCAUUUUUGAUGAACAAUCUAGCCUUGGUGUCAAAUACAUUAUGUUUCCUGUUAUUGCUUAACAAUAAAAGUACUAACUAACCCCCAUGUUUUGCCAAUUGAACACUUAAUGUGAAGCAGCAGUAGUUGAAAAUGGUCGGUUUGCAUUUAGCAAUAACUUAACAGUAAACAGUGAGGCUGAUAUCAGUGAGAUCCAGUUAUCAACAGAAACACUGUUACCUCGUGUGUGAAGUCAAUUUGAAUAAACUCAGCAGCUAACAAUGAAAGUGACUUAAUGUUGAGGUAAUUAAUGAAUGUUAGACAAUUAUUGACCAAUGAACAUGUCGAUAAUGCCUUAAAUGGAUAAAAAAAAAUAACGUCUAUCUUGUCACAAACACUGAUGUACUAUGCAUAUGUAAAUUCCCCAGUUAAAAUUGAGGGAAAGACAGAAGUUCAACCUCUUUAAUUAUAUUCUCAUUUUUAUAAAUUUGGUGAUCCUGACUUUUUAUCUAG